UUUUAUCAAAAUAUGUACUCAUCAUUAUUAUUUUUUCUUUUUUUAUCAAUUUAGGACUUUUAUUUCUUUACUACCAGUUCAAAUUUUGAGUCUUUUAUCUUGUCAACCCUUUCAUUAACCUUAAUCUCUUUUUAUUUGGCCUAUGAUUAGCUAUGGCGUUGCCCUUUUAUCCAAGGCCAGCAAUAACCUAUCUGAGUCAACUUAGUAAAAGACCUAAGUCACCGCUCUCUCUCAUUUCACACCCCACCCGGCCCGGUCGUAUACACAACUCCACCCCCUGGACCAAAGCCGCCGCCGCCGCGUUGCCGCCCCGUCGCCGCCCCUCACCAGCACCAAGGUUAGAUCCACUACUCCUUAGUUCGCGGACACGUCACACGGCCGGGAUCCAUUGGGAUUUGCUUUGUGUCAUGUAGAUUCCAAAGUUAGUUGCAUGGAUUGCUUCGUGUAGAAAUUGUAGUGAUAAUCUGAUUGCUAGUGUAGAAUUUAUUUACUUGUGUGUCUCCCUCUGUUGGCGGAUCUGAGCUAGUUUAGUAGAAAUUGAUAUAUUUAGUAGAAAUGGAUAGAAUGUGUUAUGUGUAGAAUUUAUUUACUUGUGUGUGUCUCCCUCCGUUGGCGGAUCUGGGCAAGUUUAGUAGAAAUUGAUAUAUUUAGUAGAAAUUGAUAGAAUGUGUUAUGUGUAGAAUUUAUUUACUUGUGUGUCUCCCUCCGUUGGCGGAUCAGAGCUAGUUUAGUAGAAAUUGAUAUAUUUAGUGGAAAUGGAUAGAAUGUGUUAUGUGUAUAAUUUAUUUACUUGUGUGUCUCCCUCCGUUGGCGGAUCAGAGCUAGUUUAAUAAAACUUGAUAUAUUUAGUAGAAAUGGAUAGAAUGUGUUAUGUUUAGAAAUCAGGGCACUUGUCGAGCUUUUCUAUGGAUUGAUCCUCUAUAACCAACAUAUCUAGUUUGCUAUGCAAUUUGCUGUUGUAGGUCACCACAUGCUAUCUAGUUUAAUUAGUUCUAUACAUUGCAAUAUUUGAACUACUUUACACUGGUGUCAAUAUUCAGUGAUAUGAAAUUGCAUAUUAUCUUGAUCGUAUACGCGUUGUGUUUGUAGGUCAUGGCCAAUUUUGAAGGCAACAACGAAUCAGUGUGCGAUGUGGACAUGGCCAACAAUGAAUUCUUAAACACUUAUGAGUAUAUCAUCAAGAGCGUGCAAGGGGAAAAUGACGAGCUAAAGGGGGAGAUUAAAGAGCUACGCAAGGAGACUGUUCGGCUCGUUCAGGAGACUAAUCAGCUUAGGGACAAGAGGGAUAAGCUCGUCGAGAAUCGGGAUAAACUAAAGGAGGAGAGGAGACUCCUCAGGGCUGAGAGGAUUGACCUGAAGAUGGGCAUAGAUCAUUAAAGCAGAGAAGGAGAGGGGGAUAGAAAGAAGCUUCGCCAGCUGGGCAUACUCCUUGAUGAAGAUUAGUUUUUGGCAAUGACUGUUGGAAAUAUGCCCUAGAGGCAAUAAUAAAUGGUUAUUAUUAUAUUUCUUUGUUCAUGGUAAUUGUCUAUUAUUCAUGCUAUAAUUGUAUUGUCCGGAAAUCGUAAUACAUGUGUGAAUGCAUAG
rnacentral:lncRNA from 1 species